UGUCCGUCAGCAGCCUCCCUUACAAGCUUUUUUCCUCUCCCUCUCCUUUUUUUCUCCCCUUGCCUUCUUCUUCAGUGAAGCCUAGGGGAGCCAGUAAAGAUUAAAUGUGCUUUCUCAAAGGCAGCCACUUCAUGCUGCUAUGUCGAAAGGGCUAUUAUUAAUAAUAAUAUGAGAGAGGGAGAGAGAGAGACUAGGUGUGAUGAUGACGGUCUAGCUUUUUGGAGAGGAAAGGGGAGAGAAAAAAGGAGAGACCGCGAGCUGAACAGAGGACUGUGUGUGAGCAGAACCUACAGAGUCUGCACAGGAAAGCGCGGCUUCCAGGCAGAGGAGGUUCAAGAAAGCGACUCUAUCAGGUACAGCGCUAGUAGCUGUCUGUGAAGAUGGAGGGGGAUUAUGCCUCGGAUGCCUCUGAAAUAUUGGCCAAAGGCUUCAAAGGAUCCGCAGAGGGAGGCGAGGGUGGGGGGAGCAUUUCCCCAGCUCUCACCCACCCUUCCCACUUUGCGUCUACCAAAUGACAGGCUGGAGCUCGCUCUGGGUGAUUUUGGCCUUGGCCUCAGCCAAGCAGCUGAUGCAGAGAAGGAGGGCCCGGUUUGCAAGAGUGACAGAACUCCGCAUGCUAGAGGGGGGGAAAAAAGAAAGAAAAGAAAAAUAAUUUUUGUUUCUCAAGCAGUCCUUGGGAAAAUUUCUCGUUUUCUCUCGGUUUAUUUAUUUAUCAUUAAUUUUUUUAACCGACUAUUUUCCAAAUUUGAUCAGCCCCAGCCCCUCCCUCUACUCCCACCCAAAUGCCUCCUCCUACCCCCCAGCCCCCACCCCCGGUCAAAGCAUAAACCAGAGAGUUACGGUCUUCUCUCGAUUUUGGAGUAUCGCUUCCUGCCCCCGCCUUCCCUCCCCGCCCCAUUCUCUGUCCUAUUGAACACCUCGCCCAGCCUAGCGCACUGCGAACUCACAUUCCCCCCUGGCUCCGGAUGGCGCUCCUGGAGGCUCUGCAAGCCCGGCUCCGCUUCAAAUGGUUGUACUGAUGUUCCUUUCAGCUGGUCCUAUAGCCCCCUUCCUCAGGAAUGUCUCCCCAAUGAAAAGACAGAGCCUGCAGAGACUGCUAGCCUGAUGGACGCUCUUGCCAACUGUGAAGUUGAAACAAAACAAGUGGCCACCUGAGGAGACCCUUCCUGCCCAGCAGCCACCCACAGGGGGCAGUUGCAGCCAAUAGUAGUCUUUGCAAGAAGCAGAGAAAACCCACAACACUCAUGCGUAACAAACUUCCCCUUCCUUGUGUGUACUCCUCUGUGUGUGUUCGGAUUCACCUGCCGUCCUUUCUGAUCUCAGUAUGGGUAUGCUUGUUGGUGACCAAAUGCAUUAAUGCAUGAGGACAGCGGAUUGUCUGGGGGAGCGACUUUCCCCAACACAUAGUGAUUGCUCCUGAGAGUGAUCUAGAAAGUGAAAACACUUGGGAAAGACAGCAAAGCAGUCACAGGCAAUGUUCAGAGACCCAUUCAGAGCACCACACAGAAACACCACGUCAUGCCCCCAGACUCUGUGCAGCAAGCUUGACUCUAUGACAUAUAUGACAUACAGCAGCUGCUGCUGGGGGUGGAACUCAAGGUAGGCAAAGGUGCAUGAGCUAUGUAAAAUGUAGUGAUAAACUGAGUCAGUAGACAACAAGAACAGAAACAACACAAAAGACAAUGUGCUUGGAGGAGGCCAAAUUGGUUUGCUUAAGGAAGAACGGUCUCCUUAAGAGAAAAUAAGAAAUAAACCUUGAAGGUUCUAAACAAACAAACAAAGAAAUAAAACAACAACAACAAAGAAACCAAACAAAUAGCUAAAUGGGAAGGUAGAAGAAAAGAGUCCUUGAGGUGAGCACAAUGGUAAGCAUGGCAGGGGAAAUCCACUCAGUGAGUUUUGGAGAUUACAAACACUCAUCUCAACUUGAUGUCACCUCAUACUCUGCACCCCUCUCUGUGUGUCUAGUAGAGAUGGUGCACACACAUAUGUUCCCUCUCCCACUGCAGACGUCACCUAAACUCAGCUAAAGUUCCAGUUCCCUGUCACCGGUGGUACCUGUGUAGAACUGGUGACUCUUCUGUUCAUGCUUGCUAGUUACCAAGUUUAUCCCAUAUAGGAAGUGUUUUGCAUAUGACAUCUCAUGACAACUAUGAAAACUACACAGGAUAAAACCCAUUUUGAUUAGGUUAAGUGCCUGGCAGAAGUGCUAUGUGCAGCGAUGCAUAUUCAAGGUUAUGGUCACAAAACUCAUGAGUUGAAGCCCCAUUUUGUGGCCGGUUCCAACACUGUUGUUACCUUCCUCACAACCCUAAAACCUGUCUGUGGGAACAAACAGCUCUUCUGCUUUCCUAUUACCUCAGUCUUUCCCACUUUCACAGCUGAAUAGGACCAGAAUGAUUAAAUGUAUUUUCCUGGGAGAAAAUUGAGAAUUUGUUGAAGCAGAACCGGCCAACAGUUUACACAUUUUCUUUUGAUUUGGGUCUGACACAAGACUUCUGAUUUAGUUCUUCCCGAAAUCUCAAAGUUUUAAGAGCAGUAAGGGAAGGGCCUUAAGUUACCUGUUACAACAUUUUUUGACAGAAAAUGUAAAUCUACAGCGUAUAUUCAGAGUGACUUACAAAACAAACAAAGCAACAACCAACUACCCCAACCGAACAACCAACCAACCAACCAACCAACCAACCAAACAAACAAACAAACAAACAAACCAUCACAUAUUUGGAAGUGUUCCAACAAGGACCAGAAACUAAGCCCUCAGUUAUCUUUCAACGGCUUUUAAAUUGCUCUACCCUGUCCUAAAGUAAAAUAAACCUGUAUUUGAUUAAAAGAAGUAAUGCUGCAUAGACUGAAUCUAGUACUUUUCUCCAUUCCUUCCCUCUUUGGCAUUUCACGUCAAUGUUAAAUACAGCUAUAACUAGUGUAUUUAGGUCAAGAAAUUGUCAAUGCUCUGCCCCCCCCCCCCAAAACACAGAAGAGCCAAUGUUGUAUGUAUUCUAUAACUUAAAUGAUAUCUCCAAUCAUGAAGUCAUUAGCUCACCUGCAUGGAUCUAGUCUUCUAUUGUACAGCUUUUUAACUAAUUCAACCAAUGGCAAACAUCUGCAAAUGCUAUCAAUGUUUAUCCAUGACUGUUUCAGAAGUACUUAAGUAUUAACAAAUACUACUAGUCACUUUGUGUUGUGAUCUUCAUUUAUCCAUGUGACUAAUUCAAGAAUACUUUGUCCAUAAAAACUUAGAACUGAAAUUCCCAUUCUUACUUCCAGCCACUUUGCAUUUGAAUGCUAUUUAGCAGUGAUUGGUAAAGUGAUCAUCUAGAUAACAUAGAUGUCCAAAUUAUGAUUUUUGUCUUGAAGGAGACAGUCAAGUUGUCUGCUAAGGGACAGAUGUCUAUCUUUUUAAGAUACCUGAAUAUUUAACUGAUGUAACUUUCUGCUUAGCUGUUUGACAUUGUCAUAUGUAGUCCUGGUCAUGGCUCUGGCUGUCUUGUUUUUGUUUGUUUGUUUGCUUUUUUUUUUCUUUCAAAAUGCUUCAUGGCUCUGCCUUAUACUGUUUUCACUGAGUUCAUAAAUAAACAGGUUUGUUGUUAAAAAGUAGCCCAAGCACAAAGUGUGACUUUGUUGACAUUUUCCAAGACUCUCCUUGGUCCCUGACUCCCAAUAAAAGAAAUGUU